UGUUAGAUGGAGAAAUUGCAUAUGGUGAAAGGAUUAGAAGGAUUCAAUGGCUUGUGUCCAUGUUCAACCAAAAUGGAGAAGUGCGUGAAUGAGUGGAUAUUAAGACUGACAAAGACUUUCACAGGAUGAUGCAUAAAAUGUUCAAAAUUGUUUUGAUGGUUGUAAUCGCUUAGUUAUAGUAAUGGUAUUUUAAUUGUUGUAGUUGUUUGUGUUGUUUUUUAUGUGUUACUUGUGUGUUGAAUGUGAUGGUAUCAUA
rnacentral:lncRNA from 1 species